UAUCACGUUGAAACACCGGUUCUCGUACGAUCACCGAAGUUAAGCAACGUCGAGCCUGGUCAGUACCUAGAUGGGUGACCGCUUGGGAAUACCAGGUGCUGUAG
rnacentral:rRNA from 1 species